GCAGACGGGACUUUCUGCUACCCAAAAGUGCUUCCUCCUCCUCGGGCUUUAGUUCUGGUUUAAGCCGGCAGCGGUCUGCGCUGCAACGCCUAGGUCUAGGCUAGCCUACGGACUGGGACUAGCAGCAGCGUUUCGUUGGUUCCUUUGGGGAUAGGAACGGUCCGUGGAGAUCUUCGGUCAUGGGAUAGAGAGAAAACCAGACAGAAAUACAGCGGAGUCGUCAAAUGCCAGAUGCAGACGCUGAGCGUAAGGUGGCGAGGUUUUCCCUUCCAGCCGCAGCCUGAGCGCCGGGCGUGAGCCUCUGCACGCUGCGACAGAGACACGAGGCUCCGUGUGGUCAGGGUGACGGUCAGCGGUCCUUCACAGAGGUGGCAGGAUGCGGCCCCGGCCCUGCUUUGAGCACAACUGCCAGGACUGCACACAGCCGACGUGAACUACGCUGGGAUAAACCACGCGUAAAGCUGGGAGCAGCAGCUGGGAACCGGCUUUUGUGAAGUUCCUAACCCUGGAAAUCUGUCAGUGAAAGGGAAUGGAGCUUCUGGGUGUGGGGCUAUUCAGGAAAAAUCUGAUGGAAAAAUUCUAACCGUUGCAGCAUAAGAGGCAUUAAAACAUCGUUCAUGUAGUAAAAAUGACAGGAAAAAACCACCGUCAGAUUGCCUUCUGCCAGAAUUUCAAACUGUGUAUAGAGGGAAAGAGGAGAAUUUAGGUCUGUGGAUGGAAAAAAAAUCCAAAAUAGAAAGAUUGCAUGUCCCUUGAUGCCUUCCAAAAGGAAACGGCACGGAGAAUGAGGAAAUUUCAUGGAGUAAAAAUAUCAACCCACUAAAGGAGAGAUCAGACUACGCUUGCAAAAGGCUGAACUGCACGAAGAGGGUUACGGCAAGUUGCGAGAGCCCGUUCCGACUGCCCUGGCCAAGGCCUUUCCCUGGCGAGGUGUUACAGCUCAGCUCGAGAGCGGACGGGGGAAGCAGAGAUGGCUUAUGCCGUAAAAGCAGGAAAAUCACUCCUCUGCGUCCCCGCUCCGUGUGCCGCGGCGCAGAGAUAACGUGCUGCUUGUCUCAGCUGCGCUAAACCCCCGAUAAGCGUUGCUUACAUCACUCCUCUCCACGAGGAAAGGUCACCGGCGGUCUCAGUAGAGCUCCAGCCAUUUCCUCCCGGCAGCGUUCGGUCGCCUCUGCCCGGCCGGCAUCGGUCCUGGGAGCCCAGCUCCCCUCCCGCCUGGCUCUAUCCUGCUUUUGGGGACGCGUCUCAGCCCUCUCCCUGCCGGCCCGUGCCCCUCUGUCUUCCCGUGCUUCCCCUGAACCGACGGGCAGGACGCGUCGGCGGUACGGACUGAAACAGCAGCGCGAUGCCGACAGGCAGACUUUCGGAAAUACUUCUGGUCCCAAGAAGCAAUGCACAGAGGGCACCGUAAGGAGCGAGAGCUGAGGAAGGAAAGAGUUGACCGGGCUCACCCUUACGCUGAGCUUUGUGGACAUCGAGAACGACCGCGCGGAUUGUCUCAACCCCGAGCGCAAUUUAUACCGACAAACCAGACUUCAUCCGCUGGCUAUGUCAUACCUGAAAUUCUCCUGGUGAAGAGCUCGCAGGGUGAGGGUCAGUCGAGCACAGCCUGGUGAGUCCGGGGGCAUUCCUCAGGAGCGAGGCGCAGCGUGUGUACAGUCGGAGAGGCCGAUACAGCCGUAGGAACACAAACGCGGUCGCUGGUGAUGGACUCGGCAAAGACGUGGUGAACCCUCCGG